UACGAGGGGUGCAAGCGUUGCUCGGAAUUAUUGGGCGUAAAGGGUGCGUAGGCGGGUCUUUUAAGUCAGGGGUGAAAUCCUGGAGCUCAACUCCAGAACUGCCUUUGAUACUGAGGAUCUUGAGUUCGGGAGAGGUGAGUGGAACUGCGAGUGUAGAGGUGAAAUUCGUAGAUAUUCGCAAGAACACCAGUGGCGAAGGCGGCUCACUGGCCCGAUACUGACGCUGAGGCACGAAAGCGUGGGGAGCAAACAGG
rnacentral:rRNA from 1 species